GAGUAAUACAUCGGAACGUGUCCGUUUGUGGGGGACAACCGUCCGAAAGGAUGGCUAAUACCGCAUAAGACCUGAGGGUGAAAGCCGGGGACCGCAAGGCCCGGCGCAGACGGAGCGGCCGAUGAUUGAUUAGCUAGUUGGGGAGGUAAAGGCUCACCAAGGCGACGAUCAAUAGCUGGUCUGAGAGGACGACCAGCCACACUGGAACUGAGACACGGUCCAGACUCCUACGGGAGGCAGCAGUGGGGAAUUUUGGACAAUGGGGGCAACCCUGAUCCAGCCAUGCCGCGUGCGGGAAGAAGGCCUUCGGGUUGUAAACCGCUUUUGUCAGGGACGAAAAGCUCCGGAGUAAUAUGCCGGAGUGCUGACGGUACCUGAAGAAUAAGCACCGGCUAACUACGUGCCAGCAGCCGCGGUAAUACGUAGGGCGCAAGCGUUAAUCGGAAUUACUGGGCGUAAAGCGUGCGCAGGCGGUUGGGUAAGACAGAUGUGAAAUCCCCGGGCUUAACCUGGGAACUGCAUUUGUGACUGUCCGACUGGAGUACGUCAGAGGGGGGUGGAAUUCCACGUGUAGCAGUGAAAUGCGUAGAUAUGUGGAAGAACACCGAUGGCGAAGGCAGCCCCCUGGGACGCAACUGACGCUCAUGCAUGAAAGCGUGGGGAGCAAACAGGAUUAGAUACCCUGGUAGUCCACGCCCUAAACGAUGUCUGCUGGUUGUUGGGAAUUUAAUUCUCAGUAACGAAG
rnacentral:rRNA from 1 species